rnacentral:rRNA from 1 species
AUUGAACGCUGGCGGCAUGCCUUACACAUGCAAGUCGAACGGUAACGGGCCUUCGGGUGCCGACGAGUGGCGAACGGGUGAGUAAUACAUCGGAACGUGCCCGAUCGUGGGGGAAACGAGGCGAAAGCUUUUCUAAUACCGCAUUCGGACCACGGGUGAAAGCCAGGGACCGCAAGGGCCUGCGCCGACGGAGCGGCCGAUGGCAGAUUAGGUAGUUGGUGGGAUAAAAGCUUACCAAGCCGACGAUCUGUAGCUGGUCUGAGAGGAUGAUCAGCCACACUGGGACUGAGACACGGCCCAGACUCCUACGGGAGGCAGCAGUGGGGAAUUUUGGACAAUGGGCGCAAGCCUGAUCCAGCCAUGCCGCGUGCAGGAUGAAGGCCUUCGGGUUGUAAACUGCUUUUGUACGGAACGAAAAGCCUUCUUUUAAUACAGGAGGGUCAUGACGGUACCGUAAGAAUAAGCACCGGCUAACUACGUG